rnacentral:rRNA from 1 species
UACGAAGGGGGCUAGCGUUGUUCGGAUUUACUGGGCGUAAAGCGCACGUAGGCGGAUCGCUCAGUCAGGGGUGAAAUCCCAGGGCUCAACCCUGGAACUGCCUUUGAUACUGUCGAUCUGGAGUAUGGAAGAGGUGAGUGGAAUUCCGAGUGUAGAGGUGAAAUUCGUAGAUAUUCGGAGGAACACCAGUGGCGAAGGCGGCUCACUGGUCCAUUACUGACGCUGAGGUGCGAAAGCGUAGGGAGCAAACAGG